rnacentral:rRNA from 1 species
UGGGGAAUAUUGCACAAUGGGGGAAACCCUGAUGCAGCGACGCCGCGUGAACGAAGAAGGUAUUCGUAUCGUAAAGUUCUGUCCUAUGGGAAGAUAAUGACAGUACCAUAGAAGAAAGCUCCGGCUAAAUACGUGCCAGCAGCCGCGGUAAUACGUACGGAGCGAGCGUUGUCCGGAAUUAUUGGGCGUAAAGGGUACGCAGGCGGUUUAAUAAGUCGAAUGUUAAAGAUCGGGGCUCAACCCCGCAAAGCAUUGGAAACUGAUAAACUUGAGUAGUGGAGAGGAAAGUGGAAUUCCUAGUGUAGUGGUGAAAUACGUAGAUAUUAGGAGGAAUACCAGUAGCGAAGGCGACUUUCUGGACACAAACUGACGCUGAGGUACGAAAGCGUGGGGAGCAAACAGG